AUGACAGGCAUCGGAAUAAGGCACUCAGCGCCGUGUCUGUCACACAGGUGUUCGGUCAUGCUCCCUCCUCCCUGCUUCUUCCUCGCAACAGUGGUGGGUCACGGAGGCCCAUAUCGGGACGGCUCGGCAACCUUCACACGGGCCGCGGUGGACUGUCACGACGGGUCACCCCGGACCCAGCAGCCACCCCACGGCUGCCUUUGGCCAAACGGGGCCUGUCGCUUCUCACAACCUGCUAUGGCAGAGACUCCUGUCCCCGGGGUGAAGAAGCGUGGCUCCGGCAGAAGCCACUCCACAGCCCGACGAGGCUCCCAAUGUGAAAAUCUGGAAGGUUCUCCCCGUCUGACUUGGCUCCUGCUAUUUACCGCAAAGAGUCAAAUGAGAUCUGCCCCCUCCCCCCUCCCCUUUCACGUGCAAAAGCCAUACUUAUCUGCGUGCGAUUCCCUGUCACCUGAAGACACAAUUAAUGCUGUCCGGGGACCCAGUAGUUCACGUUUGUGCACAGUGACUGUUUCAGCAGAGGGCCGAGAAGAAACCUGGGCUGCGCGUGUCUCUGGGCCGCGUCUGCUCAGCCUUUGCCACGGAGAAGUGGUCCCACGAAGCCGGGCCCUUUGCUCCUGUCCCGCUUCCGGCUGCGCGCUCAGAGCCUGGUGGCUUCCAGGGCUCGCAGGUCAGAGUCUGGGUCAGGCACGCAUAACGAUGGGUUCAGGGCUUCCUGCGAGCUGGGCCGGAGGUGAGGGGCCACCUCCUGUUCCCUGGCCAUUGCUGUCAAACCAGAUUUUCCAGAAGCUUCUGAAGCACUGCUGGCAGCCUCACCUCUCACCUAGCUGGCUAGGCCAGGCAGGAUGCCACGGGCUGUGGGUCUGGGCCCCCCCGUGGGGGCCCCCUGUGCCCUCCUCCCUCAGGGGUAACCUCGGCCCUUGUGCACCGAGUUCCCGCUCCUCUGAAAGAAGAGAUCUGGUGACUGCUCGUCAAAGCUGCUGGUGCCCAUGGGCUCCCGUCCAGGGCUCACCUCGCAGCGAGGACUUCCGAUCAGUUUCUUUUCAAAAAAAUUUUUUUUAA
rnacentral:lncRNA from 1 species